UGCCCAUCUCUACAUGCAUGUCAUUUGAUAACCAUUCUGAGGGAAUAGAAUUUGUAGUGGUUCUCCUUUGUGGCUAAAGAGCAAUGCAGUAUGCAUUCU
rnacentral:pre_miRNA from 1 species